AUUGAACGCUGGCGGCAGGCUUAACACAUGCCAGUCGAGCGGGGAAAGGUAGCUUGCUACCUGACCUAGCGGCGGACGGGUGAGUAAUGCUUAGGAAUCUGCCUAUUAGUGGGGGACAACAUCUCGAAAGGGAUGCUAAUACCGCAUACGUCCUACGGGAGAAAGCAGGGGACCUUCGGGCCUUGCGCUAAUAGAUGAGCCUAAGUCGGAUUAGCUAGUUGGUGGGGUAAAGGCCUACCAAGGCGACGAUCUGUAGCGGGUCUGAGAGGAUGAUCCGCCACACUGGGACUGAGACACGGCCCAGACUCCUACGGGAGGCAGCAGUGGGGAAUAUUGGACAAUGGGGGGAACCCUGAUCCAGCCAUGCCGCGUGUGUGAAGAAGGCCUUUUGGUUGUAAAGCACUUUAAGCGAGGAGGAGGCUACCGAGAUUAAUACUCUUGGAUAGUGGACGUUACUCGCAGAAUAAGCACCGGCUAACUCUGUG
rnacentral:rRNA from 1 species